rnacentral:rRNA from 1 species
AGAGUUUGAUCAUGGCUCAGGACGAACGCUGGCGGCAUGCCUAACACAUGCAAGUCGAACGAGAAAGUUCCUUCGGGAGCAAUUAAAGUGGCGCACGGGUGAGUAACGCGUAGACAAUCUGCCCUUCAGUCUGGGACAACUUUUCGAAAGGAGAGCUAAUACCGGAUAACAAUGCAUGACACAAGUUGUAUAUUUGAAAGCUUUAUGUGCUGAAGGAGGGGUCUGCGUCCCAUUAGCUAGUUGGUAGGGUAAAGGCUUACCAAGGCAACGAUGGGUAGCGGGUUUGAGAGGACGAUCCGCCACACUGGAACUGAGACACGGUCCAGACUCCUACGGGAGGCAGCAGUGGGGAAUAUUGCACAAUGGAGGAAACUCUGAUGCAGCAAUGUCGCGUGAGUGAAGAAGGCCCUUGGGUCGUAAAGCUCUUUUAUGGGGGAAGAUGAUGACGGUACCCCAAGAAUAAGCACCGGCUAACUAUGUGCCAGCAGCCGCGGUAAUACAUAGGGUGCGAGCGUUGUUCGGAAUUACUGGGCGUAAAGGGCGCGCAGGCGGAAUAGUAAGUCGGAGGUGAAAGCCCGGGGCUCAACCCCGGAGGGUCUUUCGAAACUACUAAUCUAGAGAGGGUCAGGGGCCGGCAGAAUUCCUGGUGUAGAGGUGAAAUUCGUAGAUAUCAGGAGGAAUACCG